CCUACGGGAGGCAGCAGUGAGGAAUAUUGGUCAAUGGUCGGGAGACUGAACCAGCUAAGCCGCGUGAGGGAUGGAGGUACAGAGUAUCGUAAACCUCUUUUGUCAGGGAACAAAGGCGGGGACGUGUCCCCGGAUGAGUGUACCUGAAGAAAAAGCAUCGGCUAACUCCGUGCCAGCAGCCGCGGUAAUACGGAGGAUGCGAGCGUUAUCCGGAUUUAUUGGGUUUAAAGGGUGCGCAGGCGGUCUGUUAAGUCAGCGGUCAAACCCCGGGGCUCAACCCCGGCCCGCCGUUGAAACUGGCAGUCUCGAGUUGGAGAGAAGUAUGCGGAAUGCGCGGUGGAGCGGUGAAAUGCAUAGAUAUCGCGAAGAACUCCGAUUGCGAAGGCAGCAUGCCGGCUCCACACUGACGCUGAGGCACGAAAGCGUGGGUAUCGAACAGGAUUAGAUACCCGUGUAGUC
rnacentral:rRNA from 1 species